CCAACCUCCGCUGUGAACAGACGUCUAGAGGAAAGUUUGUGAAGGGUUUUAAAAGUGUUUAGUGGUGGAAACGCUGCUCGAGCAAACCCAGCCGUCACGCCCGUAAGCUGGGCCGUACACUUGGACACCAGUGGCGGCCACGAAGAGGCGACUUGUGGCUACCACUACCUACUUGCAGCCGUUAAAGAAUGGACUGUACUUAUAUGACGAUAUCGGAGCUCAUGGAAAACAGGAGAAUUGAAUAUUGAAGGAGCAGCAGCCGGUUAAAGUAUCACCCGAACCCUGUCAAAGUAGUUUCCAAAGAACCUUGGCUGGUUCACCAGAUGGGUGUCAGGUGAACUCCUUAUUUCACGCUCCGCUUGACUCCUUUCGAUAUAACAUAGUGGCUUUCACGGUGAGUAUUUCUUAGAGAUCCGAACGCAAUUCUGUGACAUUAUAAUAGGUAUUUUGUGAGCA